UACGUAAGGGGCGAGCGUUAUCCGGAUUUAUUGGGCAUAAAGCGCACGUAGGCGGCUUUUUAAGUCAGAUGUUAAAUCCUUCAGCUCAACUGAAGCGCUGCAUUUGAUACUGAAAAGCUAGAGUACAGGAGAGGAAAGCGGAACUCACGGUGUAGCGGUGAAAUGCGUAGAUAUCGUGAGGAACACCAGUUGCGAAGGCGGCUUUCUGGACUGUUACUGACGCUCAGGUGCGAAAGCGUGGGGAGCAAACGGG
rnacentral:rRNA from 1 species